rnacentral:rRNA from 1 species
AUGAAGGAUUCAGAGUUCAUCAACCUUCAGACGACAUCCGCCGGUCCCAUCUCCCCUGCACCUGCCGUCAAAACCAUCGUCGCCAUCGACGGAGUUGAAGAGAGUAUCGACAGGAUUGGAGAGAUACUAGAGGAGGCGCUCCGCAAGGCUCGACUCGGUCCUCGGCGCUUCCCGGCAGCGGCCUCUUCCAGAAACAUGGCGGCGAGGUCUCCGACGCUUCCCGACAUCGGCCUCUUCCAGAAACAUGGCGACGACAGCGGUGCAUGGAACGAAGGGAGAACUGGAAUGGGGAGGUGGUGCCGGUGGAGACAGCGGCGAUGA